rnacentral:piRNA from 1 species
UCGGUCCGAUUCCUCUACAUGUUGGUC